GAUGAAGAACGCAGCGAAAUGCGAUACGUAAUGUGAAUUGCAGAAUUCAGUGAAUCAUCGAAUCUUUGAACGCACAUUGCGCCCCCUGGUAUUCCGGGGGGCAUGCCUGUUCGAGCGUCAUUACAACCCUCAAGCUCUGCUUGGUGUUGGGCCCCGCCGCCCCGGCGGGCCCUAAAAUCAGUGGCGGUGCCGUCCGGCUCCGAGCGUAGUAAUUCUUCUCGCUCUGGAGGUCCGGGUGUGUGCUCGCCAGCAACCCCCAAUUUUUUUCAGGUUGACCUCGGAUCAGGUAGGGAUACCCGCUGAACUUAAGCAUAUCAAUAAGCGAGGA
rnacentral:misc_RNA from 1 species